ACUAUAGGAUGUAAGCAUCAGUUGCUUCUUCACCAUGUUGUGCUUAUAUUUUGAUGCUGACAUUUUUGAUAAUAAAUUCAUGCUAAAAUGCUGACACUGGAUGUAAUUAAUCAAACAGUUGUUCAAAGUAAAUGGCAUGUGUUGACUUGGGAAGCAGGUUCAUGACAAGAAAGCUAAUCAAUCUGAUGACUUCCUUGGUGACCUAUGUGUGACAAGAAAGCUAAUCAAUCUUUAAAUUAGCUUCAUUGUUUCUACAUGUUAUCCAAAUUCGUUUUGCCU
rnacentral:lncRNA from 1 species